rnacentral:rRNA from 1 species
AUACGACUGUCGGCAACGGAUAUCUAGGCUCUCGCAUCGAUGAAGAACGUAGCAAAAUGCGAUACUUGGUGUGAAUUGCAGAAUCCCGUGAAUCAUCGAGUUUUUGAACGCAAGUUGCGCCCGAGGCCUUCCGGCCGAGGGCACGUCUGCCUGGGCGUCACGCAU